rnacentral:misc_RNA from 1 species
GAUGAAGAACGUAGCGAAAUGCGAUAAGUAAUGUGAAUUGCAGAAUUCAGUGAACCAUCGAAUCUUUGAACGCACAUUGCGCCCGGCAGUAAUCUGCCGGGCAUGCCUGUCCGAGCGUCAUUUCUACCCUCGAGCGAGGCCAGCAUCUAGGUGCUGGGCCUCGCCCGGCGUUGGAGCACUACGGGAAGCCCUGUGCUGUCCCCCGUAGGCCCCGAAAUGAAGUGGCGGUCCUGCCGCGGCGCCCCCUGCGUAGUAUAACAGCUCGCUUCGGGUCCCGGUGGAGGCCUGCCGUCAAACCUAUACUCUCUAAGUUUGACCUCGGAUCAGGUAGGGUUACCCGCUGAACUUAAGCAUAUCAAUAAGCGGAGGA